CCUACGGGUGGCAGCAGUGAGGAAUAUUGGUCAAUGGCCGGAAGGCUGAACCAGCCAUGCCGCGUGAAGGUCAGUGCCCUAUGGGCGUUAAACUUCUUUUGUUCGGGAGCAAUAAUGGUCACGUGUGGCCAGACGAGAGUACCGUACGAAUAAGCAUCGGCUAACACCGUGCCAGCAGCCGCGGUAAUACGGGGGAUGCAAGCGUUAUGCGGAUUUAUUGGGUUUAAAGGGUGCGUAGGCUGUGAGGUAAGUCAGCGGUGAAAUGCCCCCGCUCAACGGGGUGAAGUGCCAUUGAUACUGCGUUGCUGGAGUGCGGAUGAGGUAAGAGGAAUGUGUGGUGUAGCGGUGAAAUGCAUAGAGAUCA
rnacentral:rRNA from 1 species